GCUAAGUCGUAUGACUUGAAC
rnacentral:misc_RNA from 1 species